UGAGAUUGCUAUGAGGAUAACAAGCUCCCUCUUCCGAAAUGAAGUUGAGGUCAAAAGCUGGCAGAAUCGAACCAAUUAGUCACACGCCAUCACUGAGCAA
rnacentral:snoRNA from 1 species